rnacentral:rRNA from 1 species
UCGCGCGAUGGGAGCGGCCGAUAUCGGAUUAGCUGUUGGUGAGGUAAAGGCUCACCAAGGCGACGAUCCGUAGCUGGUCUGAGAGGACGACCAGCCACACUGGAACUGAGACACGGUCCAGACUCCUACGGGAGGCAGCAGUGGGGAAUUUUGGACAAUGGGGGCAACCCUGAUCCAGCCAUUCCGCGUGAGUGAAGAAGGCCUUCGGGUUGUAAAGCUCUUUCAGCAGGAACGAAACGGUGGCCACUAAUACUGGCUACUAAUGACGGUACCUGAAGAAGAAGCACCGGCUAACUACGUGCCAGCAGCCGCGGUAAUACGUAGGGUGCGAGCGUUAAUCGGAAUUACUGGGCGUAAAGCGUGCGCAGGCGGUUCCAUAAGACAGAUGUGAAAUCCCCGGGCUUAACCUGGGAACUGCGUUUGUGACUGUGGGACUCGAGUGUGGCAGAGGGGGGUGGAAUUCCACGUGUAGCAGUGAAAUGCGUAGA